CAUGGGCAACAAUCUUAUGGAGAUCAAGGCAUUCCUCAAGCAAUUGACAGAUUGAUUCUUCCUCAAAGAUCUAGGAACCUUGAGCUACUUUUUGGAAGUGUAAGCUACUCAAUACCGAUAAGUACUUGGCUCAUUACAGUACUUAGCUCUCACCCGUUAAGUCAUCUCAUUUGUGGUCAAUAAAUUAUUACAAUUCAUGUAUCGACCAUCUACUACGUAUUGGUUUGUAGUUAAACGAAUCUUGUGAUAUCUUAAAGGAGCCUUCAAUUAUGGCCUCUUUCUCCAUAAAUACUUCAUACUUCAUCUCCAUGCCUUUGUCGAUGCUGAUUGGAUAGAAAACUUUAAUAAUAGAACAUCCACGUUGGGGGUAUAUUGUCUUCCUUAGUGCUAAUUUAAUCAGUUGGAGUUCUAAGAAACAAAAGACAAUCGCACGGUCUAUAUCUGAAGUUGAAUACUGUGUCAUCGCCAUUGCUACUAUAGAAUUCAAUUGGGUCACGAAUCUGCUCAAGGAACUUGAUAUCAACUCUAUCUUUACUCCUACAAUAUAUUAUGAUAAUGUCGGAACUACUUACUUUUGCAUAAUGUCGGAGCUACCUACUUGUGCACCAAUCUAGUAUUCCACUCACGCAUGAAACAUAUCGCCAGCGACUCACUUCACGCGAGAUCAAGUUGUCAAACAUCAACUACGUGUUUCUUAUGUACAUAUGGUUGAUCAACUAGCAAACUCACUUACGAAACCUUCUGUCCACAAACUAUUUUCAUUACAUCAGUCCAAGAUCGAUAUCUUUGACAGGAACACCAUCCUACGGGAGCAUGAUAGCAGAUAAGAUUUUUUUCAACUAUAUAAAAAAAAUUUACUGUUCUGUAGCACGAAAUCUUUUCUUCUAACUUAUAUAAAUAGAAAAUAUAUUAAUAAACUUUAAUUAGACUUUGUCUUCCGUUUCACUAAUCACCCAUUAGACGCCGAUGCAUGAGCUGGGCCGGACCUGCAGUCUUCCCGUGAGCGCAAGCAUCAGAAACGCAAAUAACAGCAGCGAAGCUGGCGAUCGGAUCACCAUAGUGAAUGAGGAGGCUAUCGGUCUGUCUCUCUCUCUCUCCCAGUUAGGCACAGCCAAAGGCAAGCUUGUGGUGGUCUGUCAUCAACAAAGCCAUGCGACAUGGUUAUAUAGGAAAAAGUGGGUGAUGAAGCCGAUGACGUAUGUGGAUGCGCGAAUUAAUGCUUUCUAGAGACUGGCAUGUCACAUUGUCUCAGCGUGUUAUUUUGUAUCUGUUUUGAUUUAAAUUCAUCCAAAAAUAAUAAAAAAAAAGAGACGGAUAUGCUGGAAGAGUUGAGAAGACUGGAUUUGGAUAAGGGAUACGUGUUCGGCCAAUCAAUAAGUGACACGACCUGGAUCAUGACUCGCUCACUUCACGUACGGAUGACAGUACCUCGUCCUGUGUCAUCGGUUCAAUAAUAAACAUAAUAAUUUGCGUAGCACUCACAAAGAAAAACCAAAACGACUAAAACGUGGCGUUCCAAAUGGACGGCCAUGAAAUUUGCAAUGCCUUGUUAAGACAUUAACCUUCGUUCAAAUGAUAAUAAUUUACACAUCAGUGACUAAAAGAAGACGCACGCGACGCUCCAAAUGGACGGCCGUGAAAUUGGAUGGACAUUUUUGGACACACCUCACGGAUGUUUUAUCCACGAAAAAGCCAAAAGAAGUGUGGCAGCAGUAAUUGAAGUGCUACGGGGUUUCUCCGACCGCGAAUGAUGGGUCAUUUGUCCGGCAAUGACGUGUUCGACCCUCCGCAUAAAAUCUAAAAGAGAGAGAGAGAGACAAAAGAAGUGUGGCAGCAAGAAUUGAAGUGCUACGGGGUUUCUCCGACCGCGAAUGAUGGGUCAUUUGUCCGGCAAUGACGUGUUCGACCCUCCGCAUAAAAUCUAAAAGAGAGAGAGAGAGAGAGAAAAAGAAGAAAAGAUUUUUAAAAAAUGAUAAGUAUGUUCGUGAAGCAAAUGCUGAGUCACUUCCUAUUUGUUCCCACCUUCUACCUACAUGUUCAUCGAUGGUGUAUAAAAAUUAUCUCUAAAUCGGCUCAGUUAUAUUAUUUUUAUAUGAUGUUGUAAUAUUUUUAAUAAUACCAGAAAAUACUAUAAUAUAAUGAUUUUUACUGCAUUACAGUAUUUUUUUAUUUUCAGUAAUACCAUUUAUCCAUGUUACAUGGGUUUUUUUUUGUGUAAUUACUAUAUUUGAAUUUUACCAUCUUAAAAUUUUCAAUACUAGAUUUUUUUGAAAAGAUAAGUGACAAAAACUGAAUUCGAAUGUGAAAGUUUUUAUAACUAAACUGACUUAACACUUUUAAAUACUAGACAUAUUGAUCAUCAUAGAUUGGUAUUUACUAGUUUGAUAAUAAAUUGAUGCAUGAUCAAAUUUUUUUUCAUUUCACAUUCGAUACCUAUUCGGACUUAUUACACAAUAUAAUUGAUGUAUCAAAUGUACCCUAGCUUACUAUUAUAUAUCAUUCUUUAUAUUGAUAGUUUUUGUCAAUUAUUUUCUCUUUGUUCUCCUCAUAUAUUCUCUCUAUCCUCAUGCGUUUUCUCUCAUCCUUUCUCUAUCGAUAUCAUUGUUGUUGUUGUCUCCUCUAUAUCAUCGCCAUCAUCUUCUACUUUUUUUUUUUUUUUUUCUGUUUUUUCUCAUCCUCAAAUCUUCUUUUUCUCCUUAUGCUUUGCAUUUUUUUUAUCUUGUAUUUGGUCCGAACAAUGCUGACCCAUAUUGAGCAUCAAUGUAUAAAUUUGUAUCGAAAUAAUAUGGAUUAGGCCAACCGUUGUACAUAAAGAUAUAUCGAACGUGAAAAAUUUAUGGGGACGAUAGCCACCCUUUUAUUUUUUCUUUUUUGUUAAAUUUUAUGCGGAGGGUCGAACCGAACACAUGGAUAAAUGACCCAUAAUUCACGUGAAAAAGAAAAAAAUAUUUUUUUCUUUUUGUUAAAUUUUAUGCGGAGGGUCGAACACGUCGUUGCUGGACAAAUGACCCAUCAUUCUUGGUCGGAGAAACCCCGUACCACUUCGAUUAUUGCUGCCACACUUCUUUUGGCUUUUUGUGGAUAAAGCACCCGUGAGCUGUGUCCAAAAUGGUCCAUCCAAUUUCACGGCCGUCCAUUUGGAACGUCACGUGCGUCUUCGUUUAGUCACUGAUGUGUAAAUUAUUAUCAUUUGAACGAAGGUUAAUGUCUUAACAAGGCAUUGCAAAUUUCAUGGCCGUCCAUUUGGAACGCCACGUUUUAGUCGUUUUGGUUUUUCUUUGUGAGUGCUACGCGAAUUAUUAUGUUUAUUAUUGAACCGAUGACACAGGACGAGGUACUGUCAUCCGUACGUGAAGUGAGCGAGUCAUGAUCCAGGUCGUGUCACUUAUUGAUUGGCCGAACACGUAUCCCUUAUCCAAAUCCAGUCUUCUCAACUCUUCCAGCAUAUCCGUCUCUUUUUUUUAUUAUUUUUGGAUGAAUUUAAAUCAAAACAGAUACAAAAUAACACGCUGAGACAAUGUGACAGGCCAGUCUCUGGAAAGCAUUAAUUCGCGCAUCCACAGACGUCGUCAGCUUCAUCACCCACUUUUUCCUAUAUAACCAUGUCGCAUGGCUUUGUUGAUGACAGACCACCACAAGCUUGCCUUUGGCUGUGCCUAACUGGGAGAGAGAGAGAGACAGACCGAUAGCCUCCUCAUUCACUAUGGCGAUCCGAUCGCCAGCUUCGCUGCUGUUAUUUGCGUUUCUGAUGCUUGCGCUCACAGGAAGACUGCAGGCCCGGCGCAACUCAUGCAUUGGCGUCUACUGGGGACAAAAGACAGACGAGGGAAGCUUAGCAGAUGCUUGUGCCACAGGCAACUACGAAUACGUGAACAUCGCCACCCUUUUCAAGUUUGGCAUGGGCCAAACUCCAGAGAUCAACCUCGCUAGCCACUGUGACCCUCAGAACAACGGCUGCGCGCGCUUAAGCAGCGAAAUCCAGUCCUGCCAGGAGCGUGGAGUCAAGGUGAUGCUCUCCAUCGGAGGUGGCGGGUCUUAUGGCCUGAGUUCCACCGAAGACGCCAAGGACGUGGCGUCAUACCUCUGGCACAGUUUCUUGGGUGGUUCUGCUGCUCGCUACUCUCGACCCCUCGGGGAUGCGGUUCUGGAUGGCAUAGACUUCAACAUCGCCGGAGGGAGCACAGAACACUACGAUGAACUUGCCGCUUUCCUCAAGGCCUACAACGAGCAGGAGGCCGGAACGAAGAAAGUUCACUUGAGUGCUGCUCCGCAGUGUCCUUUCCCGGAUUACUGGCUUGGCAACGCACUCAGAACAGAUCUCUUCGACUUCGUGUGGGUGCAGUUCUUCAACAACCCUUCGUGCCAUUUCUCCCAGAACGCUAUCAAUCUUGCAAAUGCGUUCAACAAUUGGGUCAUGUCCAUCCCUGCGCAAAAGCUGUUCCUUGGGCUUCCUGCUGCUCCUGAGGCUGCUCCAAGUGGUGGCUACAUUCCACCCCAUGNNNNNNNNNNNNNNNNNNNNAUCUCAUAUCUAAAGUUCUUCCGAUCCUAAAGGAUUCCGACAAGUACGCAGGAAUCAUGCUGUGGACUAGAUACCACGACAGAAACUCCGGCUACAGUUCUCAAGUCAAGUCCCACGUGUGUCCAGCGCGUCGGUUCUCCAACAUCUUAUCUAUGCCGGUGAAGUCUUCCAAGUAAACCUGAACGGCGUAGAUGAUCGGUGGUCGAUAACUCCGAUCAUCAUGGGUCCCCCAUCGUAUCCGUGCGUGCUACGUAUGGUGUUUCGCUUGUAUGUGGUCUUUUCAAUAAUAUAAUAAGGGGGUGGUUUUACGUAUCCAUAUUUUCGAUGUUCGAAAACAGUAUAUUUGCUGCCCCUUCCAAAUUUGAAAAAGAUAAAAUAAAUAAAUAACUAAAAAUAUUCUUUUUUUUUUCUUUCGACAAAUAUAUAACUCUCAACUUUCCCAAUUGUUUAAGCAAAAGAUAUAAAUUCUGAAGAUCAAUAUGCUACCGCUUAAGAUGCAUACUUCCACUGUUAGGGAAACAUAUUCAAAUAUCAGUAAAGAAAUACAAUUUUGAGAAGUUGAGAAGCAAAGGUAGAUCAAUAAGUAAAUACACAACACAACUCUAUUAAUUGUUAUACUAACUUGGUAAUUAUUACAUACUCAUACCUAUAUUUAUAAAGAAAAUUAACUAAUUUUACUAUAUACUUUAACUAUAACCGACAUAAAUAUUUCUUUUUUAUUUUUGUUGCACAACAAUUAUGGUAGCUAAGCUGGUGACUCUACAACUAAUUAACCAACUUCACUAAGUCGAUCCUAAAAUAAAGUAAGCGACAUUCGUUUGAUGUAAUUUAUGUUGUGCCCAUGAUUUUAGGUCAUCGAGAAAACUAUAUAACUUAUAAUUAUCAUAGAUGUCUUGUAUGUUCAAUACCGAUGUGGAGAACUACUUUACAUAAUCGAGAAUCAAAGUACUUUGGUAUAGUUAUCUCAUCUUCCUUUUUGAUAUGAACUAACUGAAUUCUCAACUCCCAUUUUAAGUCCUCCUAUAUAUCCAUUCAAUAUCAACCUUGUUGGAUCUCUUCCUAACAUAUUCAUCACUAAAGUUUUACCUCCCUAUUCAGAUAUAUGGUUACUAUCAAUGCUUUACUUUCUUCAUAAUCGAGCCUCGUAGUUCAAAAGUACUAUUCAUAUCAAACAAAAUAAUUCUCGAGCUUCUUUGCAUCCCUAACAUCCCCUUAGCAAUACAACUCGAGUGCUCUAAAGUUUUGUGACCGAGUGUUGCUCCAUCCCAUAUUAAGAACCCUCGUGAGCAAUAUAAUCUUGGGCAUGAGUUUCAUUAUGACUUCGAGUAGGUGCCGCAUGAAAUCUUUGGUGUCUUCCGUUAGUCGAUCUACUUAAAACUCAAUAUUGUCGAUUUGUGAUUUCACCUCCUUAGCAAGUUCUCUAUCCCAAAAAAUCUUUAUUGACCUUAGUAUAGUUUUUCUAUACUCACUUCGAGAACAUCGUUUCUAUAGGUAUAAGCCUUUCCUUAUAGCAUUUUUUUUGUUGAUGCUUUAGAUUACGUUUUCUUUGCUCAGGAGAAUAGCCAGCUUCUCGCUCCCUAUUUUCACUAUUGUACUCCUCUUGAGUGACUUCAACAACUUGAGAGUGAGUUUGCACUUGUAGGCCCCCCUUGUAAUUACUUAGGGCAAUGGUCUGAUUUGCCCCGUCUUGUUCGAUUUACCAGGGUGCUUAGCCAUAGUAAGAUUGAGAACUUUAACUAUUUGCUCAUGUUGCUUACCUACUCUAAUACUACAAUGCCAUGGACUUAACUGAAAUUGCCUAAGUCAUUAGGCACCAUUGCGUUAUCUGUUCGUAAAAUGUCAACCUAGUUGCAACCUUGCUUAGGUUUCGAAGGAUCUAUAAAAAAAUAAAUUGAUUAGUUUUGAAAAUCAACAAUGGUCAAGUUCGAUGUCUCGCAAAGAUAGCAACUUUACAACUAAUUCAACGAACAUUUAGUGUGAAAAAGAGAAAAAAGAGGAAGGAGAAAAUAAGUACUUUAGAAAGCAAAUGAACUGUUACAAGCUGACAAACGAUUGCUCAAUUGGGUGUCGGGUGUGUGGACAAGUUCUUGUAAGCUUUACAUGCAAACUUAUGAAUCCAAUCAAUGCUCGACACUACCUUAGACCCCCAUCAAGUCCUAUGUCACCUAUGUGAUAUAGGGUGUUGAGAUGAUUGACAUUUUACAUUGUACUAUAGCCUAUAGAAAAUAAAUCAUGACACAUAAAAACUGGUUAUUUUGGAUAGUUUUACUUAUUCUAGUGAGCAAUCAUUUUGUAGUUCUAUAAACUAUUCCUGUUUAUAAUUUUUAAAGAAAAAUACACAAAAACAAAACAAAUGAAUGAUGUUUGGCAAUAUACUUGUUGAGGCACCCUAGUUGAUCCGUAUUAACAUAUGUUUAGCAUCACAAUAUUAAAGUUUAAAAUUAAAAUAUUAAAUUAUAAUUAACAUAAAAAUUGGACAUACUAUCUUAUCGAACGCCAUCCAGUACCUUCUCACAAUAUGAAAUAAAUUAUAAUACAUAAAAAUAUUUUUCUUAAAGUCCAACACGACGAGGUGCUAAUGAAAUUUUCUAUUCAGAAAUAUGAAAUCGAUCCAUCUAUCAAAAUUUAUUUGAUAGCUUGGGUUGAACAUCAAAGUCCCUACUUAUUGAUAUUAUUUUUAUAUUAAAAAUAAUAAUAACCAAAAUAAUUAAAUAUAUUAGAAAUACAUAAUUUAGUAAGAGAUGAUAAAACGAUAUUACCUAAAAACAUGUUAUAAUAAUUGUAUUUCCGUAACAUUAGCAAAGGAUCUUAUUGUAAAUACAAGAAUUAUAGUGACUAAAUUGCAAAAGUACAAAAGAAAAUAAAAGGUUUUUUUUUGGCCCUACUGCCUCUCUCCUCGCAUAAUCACCUCUCCCUUGUACAAGAGGCUUCGGUGAGGUGAAAUCAAGCAGAAGACAAGGGGGAAAGGAAGAUUAGAAGAUAAAAAGAGGGAGAGGAAGAAGGAAAGAGAGAAGCUAAGGAGGCAUUGGCUGUAAGAACAGAAAGGCAGAGAAGAACAGAAGAAAAGGAAAAUAGAAAGGGACGAAGGAAGAAAAAGAAUAGAAAGGAAGGAAGUGGAGAGAAAGAAAAGAGUAAAAAAAGAAGUAAUAGAGGAUCGGGUGUGAGAAUAGGGUGGGGUUUCUAAAGAUGAGGAAAACGCGAUGAUAAUCUAAGUUGUAAAUGAAUAGUAUUUCUGAUUAUUAUAUCUGGGACGACAAGAAAGUGCACCUUUCGUGGUUGUCUUUCUGGAUAUUAUUAGAUUAUGAUAUCUUCAUGAAUGGAGAUGUGAUCGAUACAUUCCAUUGUCAUUGCAUCAAAAAUUGUCAAGUCCUGUGCAUCAAUUGUUACAAGCAUUAUUGUAAUACCACCAACCCAGCAAA
rnacentral:lncRNA from 1 species